AUUUGCUGUUAAAUUGUGUUUUCGUAGGAAGAAAAAGAAAAGAAAAAAGAUGCUGUUGAAUUGUGCGAUUGGAUCAAACCUUUAGACCGGUCCCCUUGAACCGGGACUUCAAAGACCACCUCACCCUGCCCCCGAGGCGGCUGCAGUAGGGUUCUGCGGCGGCGCCCGGCGGCUUCCCCCGUGACGAAGCCCAGGCCGAACAAGCAACAUCACAUUGAAUGCAAGAUAGACAAAUUAUCGAAACAUUAUAGCAACAUGGUCUUUUUAUCCCUUAUAUCAUAUUGGAAGUUUGGAGCUGAGCAAUUAGAUAAGUUGCUCUCGGACAAAGUCAUAGUUCAUUGUGAUCCUUUUGAGCAAAUGGAAGGCAACAACCUAUGCCAUGGAAACACGAUGCAAGGAGCUCCCUAUGGCAGUUUAAACGUACAUGGCAGAUCCAUGCAAAUGCAUGCUCCAAACUCAGGAAAACAGGUCUUCAGCCACCCUCAGAUGCCAGACAAUUCCACAAUGUCUAUGAAUAGGGUUACAGAGCCUGAUGACUUUCCCGGGUUUCAAUUCAAAGAACAUGGAAACACUGAUAACCACCACCACAGUCAUCACUCAAAGAACUGCAUGAGUGAUGAUGAGGAACAUGACAUGACCGAGGAUGCUACUGAUACCCCGAGUGGCAAAGGCAAGAAGGGCUCUGCGUGGCAUCGGAUGAAGUGGACAGAUUCAAUGGUAAAGCUUUUGAUUACAGCAGUGUCUUACACGGGAGAGGAUCCUGGAGCUGAUUUAGGUGGUGGCAGGAGGAACUUUACAAUGAUGCAAAAGAAGGGCAAAUGGAAGGCGAUAUCCAAGGUCAUGGGUGAGAGAGGCUGCCAUGUGUCACCACAGCAGUGCGAGGAUAAGUUCAAUGACCUCAACAAGAGAUACAAAAGGCUCACAGAUAUCCUUGGUCGGGGUACUGCUUGCAAUGUUGUGGCGAAUCCAACACUUCUUGAUAGCAUGAAUCAUCUUUCCGGUAAGCUGAAAGAUGACGCAAGGAAGAUAUUGAGCUCAAAGCACUUGUUCUAUGAGGAGAUGUGUUCCUACCAUAACAACAACCGUGCAAGUUUGCCUGAAGAUCCUGCACUUCAACACUCACUACAGCUCGCUCUUAGAUCUAAAGAGGAGCAUGAUCCUCGGAGGGAUGCAAGUGUAGACACUGAUGAAGAUGAUCAAAGUGUGGAUUCUGAUUAUGAGGAGGAGGAUGAAGAGCAUCAUCCAGUGCAUAUGAACAUGAGGGAGCCCUCCAUGCACAAAAGGAUGCGCCACAGUGAUGUGGGUUUUGUCACCUCAAGCUCUCAUGAUGUUAGUCUGAGGUCUGAUCCCCAUGGUGUCACAGUGGACAUCAACAAGGUUUUUCUGGAUGGAACCAACUUGACUUUGUUGCAAAAGGACUUGGCUUCACAAGCAUUAGAGAUUCAGAAACAUCGCCUGCACAUUGAAACAAAGGAACUGGAACUCACAAAGCAACGUCUCAAGUGGGAGCGAUUUAGGAAGAAGAAGGACCGGGAGAUGGAAAGAAUGACAUUGAAGAAUGAACAUAUGAUGAUUGAGAAUAAACGCUUGGAACUUGAGCUGAGACAUAAGGAGCUAGAGCUUAAGCUAAAAGGCCAGGGAAGUCAUGCAUGACUUUUGUUUGAUCAACACUUCAAUUUGCAAGCUGGAAACUGGUGGCUUUUGAUUCAGAAUACACAGUUCUGCAUCUGGAAGAGGUUAUCGGCGGCAGAUUAGACUAUGAUAAGCAUUUCUGUGCAUAGACUUUGUUCUGUGAUCUUCUGGUUGCCUCCUGCUUUUAACAUUCCUUGUAUUAUUGGGCUUGAUAUACUACAACUCGGAAGUGUUUUAUCUUUUUCUUUUCAACUUUUGAGUAAAAGGGGUAGGCUUGCGAACCAUGAAUGCUAGUAGAAGCCAAGUCUGAAAGACAUGCCAUCAGUGUUCAACAAAAGGUCAAGGUGUUAAGGUUCAGUGUGGCUUUGUUCAUGAAAAGCACCCGGGUGCUACAAGGAAGGCAGAAACUGGUACCUUUUCAUGCAGACCUUGCUAGAUUACCUUCAGAGUUUGUUCUAUCUGGUAUCAUGGCACGGUGUCAGAUCAAUGGCGAUGCUGAAGCUGAACUAGUGCUGGAACAUACAUUUUCUUCCUUCUCCUUUCAGAAAUUAGAUUGCUUUUAGAGUUGAAAAUUAUUUCACCUGACAUGUUUCAGGUAGCAGAUGGUUUUUCAUUCAGAAUAUAGCUGUGCUUCCGGAAGAGGUAAAGGUGGCAGAUUAGACUAGACUCUGACAGAGAAAUUCUAUUCUGUAACGGUUACCCAAACUAAUUUGUGAAACCAUCCAAAACCCUAUGUUAAGAGUUGUAAAAUAUUUUAACAAAAAUAUGAUAGCGUAGAGUAUAUUAUCA